CGCCGGGCGCGUGGGGCCGCCUACGCGCGCGGCGGCCGCCCCGGCGGCUGUUGGGGGCAGCGGGUCGGCCGGGGCCGUUGUGCGCGCGCCGCCUGAGGCGGAGGCGGGUCCCGGCAGGACUGCCCAAGUGCCCUGCUCUGUGCUCUCCCUCCUGCUCAGCUUCGAAACGUGCCUAGCGGGCCUGGAGGCUGUACUGUGUUCAGCAGCGAGAGACGCGACAGUGAGACAGCUCUUCCCGAGGUGGGACUCGGUCUCAGAAGAGUUGCAACCACACUAUUCCGUAUCACCGUACCUUAAAGAAACAUCCAACGACCAUCUUAUGCGGUGUUGGUGUGGUAGGUUUCAUCUU